rnacentral:lncRNA from 1 species
UUUGUCUUGGAAUAGCAACUCAUCAUACUUUGACUGAUGGCACAACGGCCUUACAUUUCAUUAAUAGUUGGUCUGAAAUGGCAAGAGGCUUGCCCGAGAUUAGCAUGCCACCACUUAUUGACCGAACCCUUCUCCGAGCAAGAGUGCCACCAAUCCCUAGAUUUCAUCAUCUCGAAUAUGACCGACCUCCUUCCUUAUACACCUCUACAUCACUUGGCCCUAAUAACCAUAAACCCUUAACUGUAUCUAUUUUCAAGAUCACACAAAAUCAACUUAAUACCCUAAAAGCCAAGUCAUGGGAACAUGGAAACAAAACCAAUUGCAGCACCUUCACCAUUCUAGCUGCAUACAUAUGGCACUGUGAAACUAAAGCUUGGGGCCUCUCAUAUGAUCAACCAACCAAGUUACACAUGCCAACUAAUGGACGCCCCAGACUACAUCCUCCCCUCCCAUCAAUGUACUUGGGCAACGCAAUGUUUGUAGCUUCAUUAAUUGCUCUAUCUGGAAAUCUCCAAUCAGAACCGUUUGUAAAUACCCUAGAACGAGUUCAUGGAACAUUGCAAAGGAUGAAUAAUGAGUAUCUAAGAUCAGCUCUUGACUACCUAGAAACACUGCCAGAUAUAACAAUUGCCAGGAGAACACCGGACACUUACCAUUGCCCAAACCUAAGUAUCAACAAAUGGACACAACUGUCUUUAUAUGAUGCAUAUUUUGGAUGGGGUCGACCAAUAUACAUGGGUCCAACAAACGUUGUCCAUGAAGGAAAAAUAUGUAUACUACCAAGUCCAACCGAUGAUGGGAGCUUGUCAUUGGUAACAUGCCUACAGACUGCUCAUAUGAAACUCUUCGAGAAACAUCUAUACGAAGGCUUGAAGUCAUUUGACAAGAUCAAAGCUCGAUAUUAGUUGUUUGUUCUCUCUAUCAAUAUAUGUAUAAACCUAUAAAUCUUCUACUUCUGUUUCUUUAACUAAGACUUUUUGUUUGGAUCCUGUUUAUUUGAAAUUUACCAUCUAAGUUGGCCUGGCAAACAGGUGUUUUAUUGGUAAUUAUUGUACUAUACCUCAAUAAUAGUAAUAGCAUUGAUCGCAAAGAAAUAAUAAAUUAAAAUAAGAAUACACAGAUUUUACGUGGAAAAGUCUUAUUAGAAAAAAAAUCACAGGCAGAGUAAAAAUUUACUAAUGUUGAAAAGCAACAAUACAAGAAGUUUUUUUACUACACACGUUUUAACGGUUAAAUAACAUUUUUAUAAUCAAUGUCUAAUAGAAGAUCGCUCCCACAUAUCCCCCAAAUUUGCAAUUCUAUUUUAUUUCUUUAACAAACAAGUUGCACCUCGAAUUUUUCUGACUGGAUCAAACGGGGUUCAAAUCAAACAGCUCUGACAACAACUCAAAUUAUUUUUCCAUAACCAUAUUAAAACAAAUACCGAAUAAUUGAAAUAUAUUCAAAAUUUUAAAUUAAAUUAAGUUUGGAUCAAACUCACUGAUGAUAUAUGAUUUACCUAAAGUGAAAUAAGAACUCGAAAAUAUAAAAUUUAUGGGUAAAUUUUCGUUUUGGUCACUUAAUUAAAAAAUUAUAAUUUGGUUAUUAAACUAUUCAAAAGUUUUAUUUUAAGUCAUUGGAUUGUUAAAAUUUAUAUUAUACGACUUUCUCUAUUCGCAGUGCAUGCAUCAAUUGAAAGCUCUCUUUUUCCUUCAUUUUUACAGUUCAUUUUCUAUUUUUAUGUAAAAACUUUGGACGUCAUAAAUCUGUAGACCAAAAUUUAAACAUUUUUUGCUCUGAUUUCCAACAUCGACCAUCAAAUCAAUUUAGAUCUAAGGUAUAUUUUUCUACUCAUUAAUGGAAUAAUGGGUAUCGAUCCAUCGUAUCGAUUGUUGACACCAUUUUUUGGAUGAAAACGGAGUCGACUUGGGUUUGAAAAUGAAAACGAAAAACAAGGUGUCGCGACCGAUCCUUUUUGAUGAGGUGUGAUCGGGUCACCUCGUAAAAGUGGUUGUUUUUAAUAAACGGUUUAAUUUUAUUAAAACAACGAGUUUGGUCCACGAAAUUUAGAAAAACAGGUUCGGGAGUCGGUUACGCACGAGGAAGGAUUAGCACCCUCGAUACGCCCAAAAUUGGUACCCAGUUGAUUACUUAAUGUCUUAAUGUCGAAAAUUGAAAACUUUGAAGAAUUUUAAAAAAUACGAUCCUUGUAUUAAAACGUUGAAAAUUUUCAAGAAAAUGAGGAUAUUUCACGUUAUUCGAGAAAGAGAAUCAUAUCCAGUAAGUUAGGACACAAUGUCUCGAAUUUCCGAUACGCGAAUGAAAAAUGCUUAUUUAAAAGAUAUUUAGCUAUCUCGGAUUUAAAAAAGAGAUCACGACCAGUAAGUUAGAACACGAUCUUUUUUAUUCCCGAGAUCAUUUAAAACUUAAGUUUGAAAAGAUUCGUGUAAUAAAGUUUAAAAGAAUAUUCAAUUGUUUAAAUCAAAUGAAGAAAUUGCAACCCAAUACGUUAGAGCACAAUUUCUCAAAAUAUUAAACACUGAAUAUUGCAUUUAUUUCGAAAAAUCCUCGUCUCGAGGAACCACGUGUCAUGUCCAAUGCAUUAGGACGCAACGUAUUCAAUUCUUGAUAACGAACUUUUUAUCAUUUUUUUAAAAGAGUAAUCUCGAUUAUUUAAGUUCAACGAAGAAAGUCGGAACCCAAUACGUUAGGGCUCGAUUCUCUCGAAGAUCCAAAAUAACGAAUAUUACUUAUUUCUAAAAUUUCUUUUUCGAAAUCUAAAUAAAAAUGGGUGUAAUGGAUUAACGAUGAUAAUAAUGUAAGUAAAAUAAUAAUAUGAGCAAUAGCAUCAAAGAUAAGAUAAAAUAAAAAAGGACAAAUCAAUAGCAUACAGAAUAAAUAUAUAAGCAAAUAAAGUUAAAGCAUUCGUUUAAAAUAAUAAUGAAAAUGUAAAUAAAGAGAUAAACAAAAAAUGAACAAAACUAUAUAAAAAAUAAAAGAUAUAUAUAUUAUAUGCAUAAAUACAUUUGUACAAAAAAAAGGAUAUGUAAGUUGAAAUAUAGAAAAAUAUACGUAAGAAAAAAAUAGGUUUUUAAAACAUAAAAAGUAUGUAUAAAUAUGUUUAUAUGUAAUAAAAACACGUAUGUAUAUAUGAAAUACAACAAUAAUAAAGUAUAAAUAUGUACAUUUAUAUAAAUGGAAAAAGUAGAUAUGUAUAUGUAUAUAUAUAUUAUAAAGCAUAAAAAUAAGUAUUUAUAUAAAUAAAAAUUCGUAUGUAUAUACAUAUAUAUUACAUAAAGAUAAAAGGUAUAAGUAUGUAUAUUAUAAAAUAAAACCGUGCAAGUAUGUACAUAUAUAGAUGAAUUAUAAAGUAAGUAAAAUAUGAGUAUGUAUAUAACAAAGUCUAAAACGGUAUAAAUAGGUAGAUCAAAUGCAAUAAUAAUAAUAAUAAUAAUAAAUUAAAUAAUAAAAAGGGCUAAAUUGAAAACAAAACAAAAUAAGAGAGGAAAAAAAUCAAAAAUGAAAAGAAGUCAAGGAUUAAUCCGUGACGCGCUUGAAAGGAGAGGGACCGAGGCUGCAAAUAAACCGAAGCCCCCAAAACGCAGCGCAGCAGUGGACUAAAUUGAAACAAAAAUAAAACUUUGUGGCCAAAUUAAAAAUAAAAGAAAAUGCGAAAAGGGGCCAAAUUGCGACACACUUCAAAGUCAGAGGGACUGCGUGCGCAAAUAUCCCCUUUAGCGAAAACACGCUGAUCCUCCCCUCGGGUCGGAUCACCGCGCGGGUCAAGGGAGCCUUAAACGUCGCCGUUUUGAAAUUCCUAUAAAAGCUAAUUUUUUUCUGCUAUUUCAUUUCUUAAAAAAAAACAUAAGAAAAAACAAAAGGGUCUUCCCCUUUCUCUGCUAGGGUUCCAAACUUGGAACCCCGCCGCCGUCUGCCGCAUCUCCAUCGCAGCGCCACCAAGGACGGUGGCCGGAGUCGUGCGAGAAAAAGGGAUUUUUAACCCUCAUCGUGUGGCAUCCUUGAGAUCUCAGAUCUCUCAACCCGCGGGAAAGAGGGAAACCCACAACCCCUCUCGGACCCGAAUCGGCGACGGAGGAGAAGCCCUCCGACGGCGCAACCACGGUGGUUCCCGGUGAGUCCCCUUUCCCUUUUUAUUUUCUAUUUAAUGUACGAAAUAAAGAAAAUAAAAUAAAUAAAUAAAGAAAUGCGAAUCUGAUAUCAAGCCUUGAAUCUAUUUUUUUGAUUGUUUUAUUUAUAUGAAAAUGUUACAAAAGAAAAGAAAAAGCCCCCCGAUUCAGUGAUGAAGCCCCCUCUUACAAUCAAAAUCCCUAUAUUCUACUGCUAUUGUGUCUUUUCUUUUGUAGGUGGAGCAGGUGAGGGCGUCGGUGGCAAGUGGGCAUGGUGAUGGGACGUAUGCGGCGGCCAGCAGAGCUAGGGUGCAGAGGGCUGCAGCGCUAGGGUUUCUUUUCUGAAACCCUAGCUUGACUUUUGGGGAAUUGGGCUCCGAAUUUGGGCCUCGGGUUUGGGUUAGGCUAGUUGGGUUUAUUGUAUUGGGUUGUAACUGGAAUUGGAUCAUUUGGGUUUGGGUGGUUUGGGCUGAGUCUGUUGGGUUAUUGGGCUGAUGUUUGUUAGUUUAGGGUUAAUUGGGCCCAGGCAUAAAAAUUGGGCUUGUACAAUAAAUAUAUAUUUUUUAUUUUUAUUUUUUAAUUUUAAAAUACGUUAAAAAUAUUUUUUUUUAUUUUUAAAAUAUUUUUUUUGUGUUUAUUAAAAAUCGGGCUGGGCCCGGGCUUAUUAUUUUUUUCUCGGGCCGGGCCUGGGAAAAAUUUCAGGCCCAUAUUUCGGGCCGGGCCGGGCCCGGGCCUAAGAGUCGGGCCAAAUUUUUUCCCGGGCCCGGCCCGAACCCGGCCCGGCCCAUGGACAGGUCUAGUGACAGUACAAAUGGGUUUUAAAUGCCAACUACGAUGUCCAAUUAUUAGGACAAAAAUAGGUUUUUAAUUAAAUAAAUUAAAUUUAGACUGCCACGUAGGACCGUCAUAAGGGAGGUAAGAGAGCUUAAUGAUAGAGUGACCAAUUCGUAACAGAACGAUAACAUUAGUGACUAAAACGUAACAUUUCAAACUUAAGUGACUAAAAUGUAAUCUGAAGCAAAUAAAAGUGACUGUUUUAAAGUUUACCCUUAAUGUAAUUAUUGGCGGAUGAUCUGGCCGCACCGACAAACAGCAGAAAUUGAGUCAUUUUCGUAAUUAUUUACAAAAUUUGGGUUACUUUUGUAAAAAAACCAGAGAAGAGAACCUCGCCUCUUCUUAAGAUAGCCGGACACUUUCUAACUUUCCCUUCUUUCAGUUUUUCAUCAACAGGUUUGCCUCUUACCAGAACAUCAAUGGAUGUUAGUGUAAAGAGAUGGAGCAUGAUACGCCCUGCCCAAGAUACUCCUAAAGAAAGGCAAUGGAUUUCAAAUCUGGACAUGGUGAUAACAACAUACCAUGUCCCUUUGCUGUUUUUCUACAAACCAAAUGGCUCCUCUGAUUUCUUUAAGCCUCAAGUGCUACAGGAGGCUUUAAGCAAGACUCUUGUGCAAUUCUAUCCUAUGGCUGGGAGGUUGGGACAUGAUGAAAAUGGUAGGCUCGAGAUAUUAUGCAACGCAGAGGGUGUUCUGUGGAUAGAAGCUGAAACUACAUCGGCCAUGGAUGAUCUCGACGGUUUUACUCCCUGCUCAAAACUGAGGAAACUGGUUCCCACGGCUGAUUACUCUGGAGAUAUCAGUUCUUAUCCGCUUAUUAUGGCUCAGGUAAGUGAAUGAAGAACUAUUAUCUUAUUGUAGAUGAUAACUGUUACUUGCAGUAGGAGACCAAGGAUAAGCUCUGAGAAAACUCAAACAGUCUGAUACUGAAGUUAUAGCACAAGAAAAACUAAGCUAUCAGCUAAGAAGUUGAUAUAUGGCUUUUUUUUCUCAAAACUGACUUAAAAGAAUCGAUUAAUUAUGAAAAUUACCCAGGUAUAAUAUCUUAUAUGAGAAUGACCCGUUUUCUACCGUAAAAAUUGGUACCGCUAGACUAUUUAGCGGUACCGAUAUUUUUGUAAAAGUAUUACCAUCAACAAAUUAUCGAUAUAUACUUUCCAUUCAUCUUCACAAGAAAGUGCUAAUUACGGAGGUCCAUGGUGGUGGCUUAGUAGUGAUGAAGAUGAAACCAAAACCCUUUUCUCUUCAAUGAACCUCUGGUUUGACUCAUUUGUAAUAAUUAUUUUCGCUCGUUGGAUACACCCGCAUUUUAAAUGGAAAACUGUAAUAAUCCUCACCGAAGAAAAGCAAAGAACAAGAUUAAUCAAAGCGAACAAUAUUGUUACAAAUGAGUUAGGAGAGAGGUUCAUUGAAGAGAAAAGGGUUUCGAUUUCAUCUUCUUCACUGCUAAGCCACUGCCAUGGAACUCUUAGACCUUUCUCAUGAAGCUAAACGAUACCAUCAACAAAGUAUAUCCUUUUUACAAAACUAACAUCGGUGCCAACAAUGAGUCCGGCAACAUUCAAAAAAUAUAUUUUUUUAAAAAACAUGGGGUGGUGCUUCAAUGGAAAUGGUGGCACCAAAUUUUAUGAUAGAAAAUGGGUUAUUCUCGUACAAAAUUUUACACUUGAGUCAUUUUUAUAAUUAAUAAAAAUUUUUGGUCAAUUUUGAAAAAAAAAACUUAAUGUUUUUGUUUCGAAAAGGUCAAUUGUUGAGUGUAUAUUUUGCUAGGUAACUACUCUUAAAUGCGGUGGAGUUUGUCUUGGAAUAGCAACUCAUCAUACUUUGACUGAUGGCACAACGACCUUACAUUUCAUUAAUAGUUGGUCUGAAAUGGCAAGAGGCUUGCCCCAAAUUAGCAUGCCACCACUUAUUGACCGAACCCUUCUCCGAGCAAGAGUGCCACCAAUCCCUAGAUUUCAUCAUCUCGAAUAUGACCGACCUCCUUCCUUAUACACCUCUACGUCACUUGGCCCUAAUAACCAUAAACCCUCAACUGUAUCUGUUUUCAAGAUCACACAAAAUCAACUUAAUACCCUAAAAGCCAAGUCAUGGGAACAUGGAAACAAAACCAAUUACAGCACCUACACCAUUCUAGUUGCAUACAUAUGGCGCUGUGCAACUAAAGCUUGGGACCUCUCAUAUGAUCAGCCAACCAAGUUACACAUCCCAACUGAUGGACGCCCCAGACUACAUCCUCCCCUCCCAUCAACGUACUUGGGCAACGCAAUGUUUGCGGCUUCAUUAAUUGCUCUAUCUAGAAAUCUGCAAUCAGAACCGUUUGUAAAUACCCUAGAACGAGUUCAUGGAACAUUGCAAAGGAUGAAUAAUGAGUAUCUAAGAUCAGCUCUUGACUACCUAGAAACACUGCCAGAUAUAACAGUUGCCAGGAGAACACCGGACACUUACCAUUGCCCAAACCUAAGUAUCAACAAAUGGACACGACUGUCUUUAUAUGAUGCAGAUUUUGGAUGGGGUCGACCAAUAUACAUGGGUCCAGCAAACAUUGUCCAUGAAGGAAAAAUAUACAUACUACCAAGUCCAACCAAUGAUGGGAGCUUGUCAUUGGUAGCAUGCCUACAGACUGCUCAUAUGAAACUCUUCGAGAAACAUCUAUACGAAGGCUUGAAGUCAUUUGACAAGAUCAAAGCUCGAUAUUAGUUGUUUGUUCUCUCUAACAAUAUAUGUAUAAACCUAUAAAUCUUCUACUUCUGUUUCUUUAACUAAGACUUUUUGUUUGGAUCCUGUUUAUUUGAAAUUUACCAUCUAAGCUGGCUUGGCGAACAGGUCUUUUAUUGGUAAUUAUUGUACUAUACCUCGAUAAUAGUAGUAUCAUUGAUCGCAAAGAAAUAAUAAAGAAAAAUAAGAAUACACAGAUUUUACGUGGAAAAGUCUUAUUAGGAAAAAAAAUCACGAGCAGAGUAAAAAUUCACUAAUGUUGAAAAAUACUAAUACAAGAAGUUUUUUUGACUACACAUUUUAACGGUUAAAUAACAUUUUUAUAAUCAACGUUUAAUAGAAGAUCGCCCCCACAUAUCCCCCAAAUUUGCAAUUCUAUUUUAUUUCUUUAACAAACAAGUUGCACCUCGAAUUUUUCUGAUUGGAUCAAACGGGGUUCAGAUCAAACAGCUCUAACAACAACUCAAAUUAUUUGUCCAUAACCAUAUUAAAACAAAUACCGAAUAAUUGAAAUAUAUUCAAAAUUUUAAAUUAAAUUAAGUUUGGAUCAAACUCACUGAUGAUAUAUGAUUUACCUAAAGUGAAAUAAGAACUCGAAAAUACAAAAUUUAUGGGUAAAUUUUCAUUUUGGUCACUUAAUUAAAAAAUUAUAAUUUGGUUAUUAAACUAUUCAAAAGUUUUAUUUUAAGUCAUUGGAUUGUUAAAAUUGAUAUUAUAUGACUUUCUUUGUUCACAGUGCAUGCAUCAAUUGAAAGCUCUCUUUUUCCUUCAUUUCUACAGCUCAUUUUCUAUUUUUAUGUAACAACUUUGGACGUCACAAAUUUGCAGACCAAAAUUCAAACAUUUUUUGCUCUGAUUUCCAACAUGGACCAUCAAAUCAAUGUAGAUCUAAAUUAUAUUUUUAUACUCAUUAAUGGGUACUGAUCCACCAUAUCGAUUGUUGAAUCCUUACUUGGAGCUCGUUAGUGGAACUUAAAAAACAACUUAAUAUAUAGCCUAGUGACUUAAAUGAAAAUUUUUGAAUUUAGUGGCCAAACCAAAAACUUUCCUAUAAUUUAAUGACUAAUGGUAUAGUUUACGCACUUCCUCUUGGCCCAAUUGAAGUUUUUGGUACUCCCACACACUAGUAAAAAAGUUUUAAUAGUAGAAAUGUAUGAAAUUUUUAAUAGAAAGUACCAUUUUACUUUUUGAUCUAUAUACAGAGAUUAAUUUGCCAAUUUUUUAAAUAAAUGGGGUAAAAUGUAAUUUGACUUUUAAUAUAAAAAUCUCCAUGGUAUGUUUACCUUGAAAUUAUCAAUAAAAACUAAUAAAUAUAAAAUGAAACAGUUAAUAAUAUAUCAAAUAUCCACGAGGUGAUAGGUGAUUUUAAAAUUUAACAUUUACAACUUAAUGGGCUAGUGACAAGGCCAAGCAAACCAUUAGUGGAUUGGUAACAAAUUUGGUAAUAUUUCAACGAUCCAAUUGUUUAAUAUAUCGAUAUAACUGUAUUUGGUAUGCAUGAAAAUUUUCGAACCGAUCCGAUAUUUCUGACAUAUUGAUCCAAAAUAUUGUAUAUAUUGAACUAUUAAAAGUUUUUAUAUAAAAUAAAUAGUUAGUUUUUUUUUUAAUUUACAUCAAAUUUGACAUGCAUAAUAUGACAAUUGAAUCAUUAAAAUAUGGGUAAACUACACCCAUGGUCACUUUUGUUUACCUUAGGUUACAUUUCAGUCACUUAUGUUUGAAAUGUUACAUUUUAGUCACUUACGUUAUCGUGUUGUAAUAUUUUAGUCACUGAGCCGUUAAUUGCCGUUAAUGGUGUAAUGGUAAGCUGACGUGGCACGUUAAAUCAUCAUUUCAAACAAAAACUUUAGGUUAAAUUAUACAAUUGGUCACCAUAAUUUUUCGUUUUGAGCAAUUUAAUUCUUUUAUGUUCUUUUAACUUUCUUUUUUUUUUCUUUUUUUCUUUUCUCUUCUGCUUCACCCUAUGUUUUUCUACCUUCUUUAUUUCUUUUAACAUACCAGGAAGUCGAAUUGGUAGUGAAGAAAGAAGCAUGAUAUGGGUUUAUGGGUUUUGGUUAUAGGGUUUUGGUUAUAGGCAAAUGAUGACAGUCGACUUCCUACUUCUUUUUUCAUUGCCAAUUCGACUUCCUAAUAUGUUAAAAGAAAUGGGAAAGGUAUGAAAACAGAGGGAGAAACAAAAGAGAAUGAAAAAGAGAGAGGAAAGUUUAAAGAACAUAAAAAAAAUUAAAUUACUAAAAACGAAAAAAAUAUGGGGAUCAAUUGUAUAAUUUAACCUAAAAUUUUGUUUGAAAUGAUGAUUUAACGUGCCACGUCAACUUACCGUUACACCAUUAACGACGAUUAAUGGCUCAGUGACUAAAAUGUUACAACUUGAUAACGUAAAUGACUAAAACGUAACCUAAAGUAAACAAAAGUGACCAUGAGUGUAGUUUACCCUUAAAAUAUUAAUCGUAUAAAAAAAUAAAAUACAUAUUUUAAAUUUAAUAUAAAAAUGUUUAAAAAACACUAAAAUAAAUUAAUAAAAUUCUCAAUGACUUUUGGGUUUAAAUCACAAUUAUCGAAACAGGACAAAUCGAAAAUUAAUUAAUGUAUAAAUUUGGAAUAAGAGGAUUAAUUAUCUCACAAAUUGGUUAAAUCAACCAAUCAGAUCAAUUUUUUUCAUUUUUAAAUUUUUUAAUAAUUUAUUUAAUUAAAUUAAUCAAAUCAAUCAAAUCGGAAUUAGAAUCUAAUUCUAAACACUUUGCUUUGUUAUGUCAAAGCCAUAUGUUUUUUUUACACCUUAUUUAUUCCGCAAAUUAUUGUCCGCACAUGUCAACUCUUUAUCAUCUUUUAAUGACGUGUAUGGUAUAGAUAGCCUAUCUGCAUUUUUUUUUAUUUGCCAAAUUCUUUUAUUAUUCCUUGUAUUAUAAUUAGUUUGUGAAUUUAAUCUCUAUAUUAAAAUAAAAUGUCAAUUUUAGUCCUUAUACUUUUUAGCAUUUAAAAUUUUAAUCCUCCACAAAGAGUAGUAAUUAAAUAUGUUUGUUAAUUUAUGUCGUUAAUCUUUUACACAGUAUAAAGUUAUUCCACGUUCUCUAAUUUGAUCAUUCAUAAUCCUUAUAUUUUUUGAAUUUUUAAAUUUUAACAAGCUGAUAUGAUAUUACAUAUAUGAUAAUAUUUUUGACGUAUAAGAUUUUGAAAAUAAUAAAACUACUUAAUGAAUUUAAUGGUUAUCGUUUAUAUCAAGAUUGAAAUUUCAAAAUUAGAAAAAUAUACGGACUAAAAUGAUUAAAUUAAAGUACAUAGACUAAAUUUAUAACUUGUCUAUUGCACAAGUACUAAUAGCAAGAUUUAACCUAUUUUUACAUUUAAAUAUGUAAAAGUAUCACCCAUCCACUGCCUUCCAAGAGAGAAGAUAAGCGUUUUUUUAGCAAUAAAAGAAAUAAUAAUUACCUGAUAAAUUAUUUUAUGGACAUUUUUCACGAUAUCUUCCAUGAUCCCGUCCUAUUAGAAGAUGACACAUCAUCUUUUUUUGACACAUCAUAUGUACAUUUAGACUAAACUCCCAAAUGAAAGAUGAAGUGUCUUGUUUUAAUUGGGAGGAACUAUGGAUGAUGGGGUGGAAAAUGUCUAUAAAAUAAUUUCUCAUUAUUACCUUGUCUUCGAACACAAAAACACAAGCAUUAGCAUACAGAUUUUGCCCAUCCGCUACCUCCCAAUAGACAAGAUAGGUUUUUUUUUAAUUAACUCAAUUUUUUUGAUUAAUUACGAAAAUAAUCAACUUAAAAAUUACAUACGUAAAUGAUUUGAUUUUUACAGUGUUUGUCGAUGCUUCCAGACACAUCGGCGGCACAAGUCUCAUCAUCGACCAAUAAUUGUAUUAUUUUAAAGAUUUUCAAUUCAUUCCCUAACAUAUUUAAAUUUAUAUAAAUUGAGAUAAUUUUUUGAAGGAUAUAUUUGGGUAAUUUAAAUAAGACUUUUAACUUUAUUGUUUCUAAAAAAAUAAAAAUAAUUUAUUUUUGUUAUUCUUAUAUUUUUAAGGGCUAUUUAAAUAUAAUUUUAAAAAUAUAUAUACUUAACACGCAAAUAAAUAAAAAAUUAACAAGCAUCAAAUUUGGUGCCGACAUGGUGCACUAAAAAGUUAUUAUUUUCUGGGUAAAUUACAGUAAUAGUCACUUUUAUUUACCUCAUUAUAUUUUAGUUAUUUAUGUUUGAAAUAUUACAUUUUAGUCACUUACGUUAUCAUUUUGUUAUUAAGUGGUCACUCCACCGUUAAACUUCGUUACCUCUCUAACGGUAGUCCUACGCGACAGUACAAAUGGGUUUUAAAUACCAACUACGAUGUUCAAUUGUUGGGACGAAAAUAGGUUUUUAAUUAAAUAAAUUUAAUUUAGACUGCCACGUAAGACCAUCAUUAGGGAGGUAAGAGAGCUUAAUGAUAGAGUAACCAAUUCGUAAUAAAAUGAUAACAUAAGUGACUAAAAUGUAAUAUUUUAAACUUAAGUGACUAAAAUAUAAUCUGAAGCAAAUAAAAGUGACUGAUUUAUAGUUUACCCUUAAUGUAAUUAUUGGCGGAUGAUCUGGCCGCACCGACAAACAGUAGAAAUUGAGUCAUUUUCGUAAUUAUUCACAAAAUUUGGGUUACUUUUAUAAAAACCCGAAAAGAGAACCUCGCCUUUGCUUAAGAUAGACGAGCACUUUCUGACCUUCCCUUCUGUUGGGUUUUCAUCAACAGGUUUGCCUCUUAAUUACCAGAACAUCAAUGGAUGUUAGUGUAAAGAGAUGGAGCAUGAUACGCCCUGCUCAAGAUACUCCUAAAGAAAGGCAAUGGAUUUCAAAUCUGGACGUGGUGAGGCCAACAUUCCAUGUCCCUUUGCUGUUUUUCUACAAACCAAAUGGCUCCUCUGACUUCUUCAAGCGUCAAGUGCUACAGGAGGCUUUAAGCAAGACUCUUGUGCAAUUCUAUCCUAUGGCUGGGAGGUUGGGACGUGAUGAAAAUGGUAGGCUCGAGAUAUUAUGCAACGCAGACGGUGUUCUGUGGAUAGAAGCUGAAACUACAUCGGCCAUGGAUGAUCUCGACGGUUUUACUCCCUGCUCAAAACUGAGGAAACUGGUUCCCACGGCUGAUUACUCUGGAGAUAUCAGUUCUUAUCCGCUUAUUAUGGCUCAGGUAAGUGAAUGAAGAACUAUUAUCUUAUUGUAGAUGAUAACUGUUACUUGCAGUAGGAGACCAAGGAUAGGUUCUGAGAAAACUCAAACAGCCUGAUACUGAAGUUAAAGCACAAGAAAAACUAAGCUAUCAGCUAAGAAGUUCAUAUAUACACGAGAAUGACCCGUUCUCUACCGUAAAAGUCGGUGCCGCUAGACUAAUUAGUGACACCAAUAUUUUUGUAAAAGUAUUACCAUCAACAAAGUAUCGAUACUUUCCGUUCAUCUUCACAAGAAAGUGCUAAUUAUGGAGGUCCACGGUGGUGGCUUAGUAGUGAAGAAGAUGAAACCAAAACCCUUUUCUCUUUAAUGGAUCUCUGGUUUGACUCAUUUGUAAUAAUCAUUUUCGUUCGUCGAAUACGACCGCAUUUUAAAUGGAAAACUGUAAUAAUGAUCCUCACUGAAGAAAAGCAAAGAACAAGAUUAAUCAAAGCGAACAAGAUUAUUACAAAUAGACCUGUACAUAGGCCGGGCCGGGUCGGGUUCGGGCUAGGCUCACAAAAAUUUCAGCCCGUUUACUAGGCCCGGGCCAGGCCCGGCCCGAAAUAUAGACAUGAGAUUUUGCCUAGGCCCGGCCCGAAGAAAAAAUAUGGGGCCCGAGCCCGGCCCGUUUUUAAUUAAAAUUAAAAUUAUUUUUUUAAUAAAAUUAAAAUUAAUUGCUAUUAAAAUUAAUUGUUAGUAAAAUUAUCAAAUUAUUAAUUGUUAAUUGUAUUAAUUGUUGUAAUAAAAUCUAACAUUUGAUUAGUAAAUUUAUCAAAUUAUUAAUUGUAUUAAUUGUUGUAACAAAAUCUAACAUUUGAUUAGUAAAACAAACUUGAUGUUUUAUUAUUAUUAUUUUGUAACACUAGUCAAGGAAAUGAAAGUAAAUAAACUUAAAAUAAAAAACUAUUACAUUUUAAAAAUAAAAAAUAUAUAUUUAAUAUUUUUCGGGCCGGGCCGGGCCGAGCCCGGGCCAAAAAAUCUUGCCCGAGGCCUGGCCCAUUUUUUAAACGAGCCUAAAAUUUUGCCCAAUCCCAUAUUUCGGGCAUAUAUUUUACCCAAACCCUCCCAUAUUUUGGGCGGGCCGUCGGGCCGGGCCGGGCCGCCCGGCCCAUGGACAGGUCUAAUUACAAAUGAGCCGGGCGAGAGGUUAAUUGAAGAGAAAAUGGUUUCAAUUUCAUCUUCUUAACUGCUAAGCCACCACCAUGGAACCCUUAGCACUUUUUCGUGAAGCUAAAUGAUACCAUCAACAAAGUAUUGAUCCUUUUUACAAAACUGGCAUUGGUGCCACCAAUGAGUCCGGCGACAUUCAAAACAAAUAUAUUUUUAAAAAACAUGGGGUGGUGCCUUCAAUGGGAAUGAUGGCACCAAAUUUUAUGAUAGAAAAUGGGUUAUUCUUGUACAAGAUUUUACACUUAGUCAUUUUUUAUAAUUAAUCAAUCUUUUUUGGUCAAUUUAAAAAAAAAACCUUAAUAUUUUUGUUUCAAAAAGGUCAAUUAUUGAGUGUAUAUUUUGCUAGGUAACUACUCUUAAAUGCGGUGGAGUCUGUCUUGGAAUAGCUACUCAUUGUACUUUGGCUGAUGGCACAACGACCUUUCAUUUCAUUAAUAGUUGGUCUGAAAUGGCAAGAGGCCUGCCCCAAAUUAGCAUGCCACCACUUAUUAACCGAACCCUUCUCCAAGCAAGAGUGCCACCAAUCCCUAAAUUUCAUCAUCUCGAAUGUGACCUACCUCCUUCUUUAAACACCUCUACGUCACUUGGCCCUAAUAACCAUAAACCCUCAACUAUAUCUAUUUUCAAGAUCACACAAAAUCAACUUAAUACCCUAAAAGCCAAGUCAUGGGAACAUGGAAACAAAACCAAUUACAGCAC